rnacentral:rRNA from 1 species
AUGCUAUGCUUAUGUGAUUUGGGUGCUAGUGUUUCCACGAUUCCAAAAACUUUGUGUGAUGUGUUAGGUUUCCGUGAAUUUGAUGAUUGUUCUUUUAACUUACAUCUUCAGGAUUCCACCAUCAAGAAACCUAUGGGAAGGAUUAAUGAUCUUAUUGUUGCAAAUAGGAAUUAUGUGCUUGUAGAUUUCAUUGUUCUUGAUAUAGAUUGCAAUCCUACUUGUCCUAUUAUUCUUGGUAGACCUUUCCUUAGAACGAUUGGUGCCAUUAUUGAUAUGAAAGAAGGAAAUAUUAGAUUCCAAUUUACAUUAAGGAAGGGCAUGGAUCACUUCCCUAGAUAG